rnacentral:pre_miRNA from 1 species
GUUAGUGGAUGGUGUUCAGCAACAAUGAGAGGUGUGGUUAUCUGUGUGUGGAUGGUGUUCAGCACCAAGGACAGGUGCUUGCCG